GACAUGCUCUCUGGUCCAAGCCGGUUGACUGGCUCCUGGGAUGACAAACGCCUGGCUGCUUGUGGUCUGUUGGGCCCUGCAGCUGCCCGGGGUCUCUGUAUUCAAUAUCCCAGGGAGCUGCCAUUAUAUUCAGAAAGUAAGAACAUGUCUACCUCUUUGACUCAAGUGGGAACUUCUCAGGAGAAGAAAUCUUGCCUCGUUUCAGGGAACUAUUUCUCACUGUGGAAGAAAUGGAAGGAAUUUCUGCAUAGACGCAGGGUGGACCUCCCCAGCUCCCAUGAAGAAAUGACAUCACAAAGGGAGCAGAUGACAAUUUCUCAAACUUCAGAUUUACAGCAAGGACCAGCUGUCGACGUGAUUCCGAAUCACCACUCCAGGUGACGAGGUUUUUCUCCUCAGUGGUCUGGGCACAAAAGCUCCAAGAAAGAGGUCCCUGCUCUUCCCGCUUUGGUUCCUGUUCUGUUCCUGGCAUGCUAAAGUGAAAGCUGCUUGUGUCUCUCCCAACUCUGCAUCCAGUGGCGUCACGUUGAUAACAUAAAACCAGCACAGUGGGAGUAUUUGCAUGAUAAAAAUCAGCAUUUCAUCUCCCAUUCCACAUCUUCUUGCAAAGCCAGUGGUGAAACACUGACCAGCUCAUCCUUGUCU
ensembl:lncRNA